AGUCGAACGGUAGAGGAGCAAUCCUCGAGAGUGGCGAACGGGUGAGUAAUGUAUCGGAACGUGCCCAGUAGUGGGGGAUAGCCCGGCGAAAGCCGGAUUAAUACCGCAUGAGACCUGAGGGUGAAAGCGGGGGACUCGCAAGAGCCUCGCGCUACUGGAGCGGCCGAUAUCAGAUUAGGUAGUUGGUGGGGUAAAAGCCUACCAAGCCUGCGAUCUGUAGCUGGUCUGAGAGGACGACCAGCCACACUGGGACUGAGACACGGCCCAGACUCCUACGGGAGGCAGCAGUGGGGAAUUUUGGACAAUGGGCGAAAGCCUGAUCCAGCCAUGCCGCGUGCGGGAAGAAGGCCUUCGGGUUGUAAACCGCUUUUGUCAGGGAAGAAAUCCUUUGAGUUAAUACCUCGGAGGGAUGACGGUACCUGAAGAAUAAGCACCGGCUAACUACGUGCCAGCAGCCGCGGUAAUACGUAGGGUGCAAGCGUUAAUCGGAAUUACUGGGCGUAAAGCGUGCGCAGGCGGUUGUGUAAGACAGAUGUGAAAUCCCCGGGCUCAACCUGGGAACUGCAUUUGUGACUGCACAGCUAGAGUACGGUAGAGGGGGAUGGAAUUCCGCGUGUAGCAGUGAAAUGCGUAGAUAUGCGGAGGAACACCGAUGGCGAAGGCAAUCCCCUGGACCUGUACUGACGCUCAUGCACGAAAGCGUGGGGAGCAACAGGAUAGAUACCUGGUAGUCACGCCCUAACGAUGUCACUGGUGUUGGAG
rnacentral:rRNA from 1 species